AAAGGUCGUAACAAGGUUUCCGUAGCUAUAAGUACAGAACACAAUGUUCUUCCGUGGUGAAACUUAUAGAAGCCUUUGCUACGACUUCAGCWAUGGGUAGCUCUCGCGACUAGAAAUAAUGAGUGGCUCAUGCAUACACAACCGAACUGACGGGGAAAUUCUAAUGCCUAUGACACUAACUUACUGGAGAAAUCUAGUAAGGGCGGGUGCUAAUAACACCUGGAAGUAAUAGUUCAUAGGAUGCAACAAUGGAUAAUCCGCAGCGAAGCCUCUAAGUGCAAGUAGUAUAUGAGGAACGUCCACAGGCUAAGUGGUUGUGGGUGGAAUUAAUUAUUCUGCUUAAGAUAUAGUCGGGCCAACUGGUUACUCAGUUGGGGAUAUUCAUUGCAAUCCUAACCGUUCCGUAGGUGAACCUGCGGAAGGAUCAUUAAAGAGAUUUGAUAGAUGGCCUAGCUGUCUCAUCAAUCCCACCCUUUGUUUAUAUUACCUUUGUUGCUUUGGCAGGCCCGCUCUCGGGCCACCGGCUUUGGCUGGUCAGUGUCUGCCAGAGGACCUAAAACUCUUGUUAAUAAUAUUGUCUGAGUACUAUAUAAUAGUUAAAACUUUCAACAACGGAUCUCUUGGUUCUGGCAUCGAUGAAGAACGCAGCGAAAUGCGAUAAGUAAUGUGAAUUGCAGAAUUCAGUGAAUCAUCGAAUCUUUGAACGCACAUUGCGCCCUCUGGUAUUCCGGGGGGCAUGCCUGUUCGAGCGUCAUUACAACCCUCAAGCUCUGCUUGGUAUUAAGCUUCACCUUUUUAGGCGGGCUGUAAAAUCAGUGGCGGUGCCAUUCGGCUUCAAGCGUAGUAAUUCUUCUCGCUAAGGAGUACCGGUUGUGCAUCUGCCAGCAACCCCAAUUUUUUUCAGGUUGACCUCGGAUCAGGUAGGGAU
rnacentral:rRNA from 1 species